rnacentral:lncRNA from 1 species
AUAAAACUGUGUCGAACAGCGCAUGUGAGUUCUUGCCUUCCUGUCAGUUUGAUUAAAUAGUUGAUAAUGUAUUAACUAUUGAUGGCAAAAUCAUUCAAAAAUACUAUAUUAUACUCACGAAGUUUUGGUUCUGUAAUCGCAAAAUAAAUCAAUUUGAAGCCAUAUGUAAACCGUUGUUAGAAUUUCAUGAUACCACAAUCAUU